rnacentral:rRNA from 1 species
GAAUUGUUCGCAAUGGGCGCAAGCCUGACGACGCAACGCCGCGUGGAGGAUGAAGGUCUUCGGAUUGUAAACUCCUUUUGCCUGGGACGAAUUGUUCAGACCUAACACGUCUGAGUUUGACGGUCCCAGGUGAGGCAGCCCCGGCUAACUCUGUGCCAGCAGCCGCGGUAAUACAGAGGGGGCAAGCGUUGUUCGGAAUUACUGGGCGUAGAGGGCGCGUAGGCGGCCCUCUAAGUCGAACGUGAAAUCCCUGGGCUCAACCCAGGAACUGCGUCCGAGACCGGGGGGCUGGAAUCCGGGAGAGGGAUGUGGAAUUCCAGGUGUAGCGGUGAAAUGCGUAGAUAUCUGGAGGAACAUCGGUGGCGAAGGCGGCAUCCUGGACCGGUAUUGACGCUGAGGCGCGAAAGCCAGGGGAGCAAACGGG